AUUGAACGCUGGCGGCAGGCCUAACACAUGCAAGUCGAGCGGAGCGGCGGACGGGUGAGUAAUGCCUAGGAAUCUGCCUGGUAGUGGGGGAUAACGUCCGGAAACGGGCGCUAAUACCGCAUACUAUCAGAUGAGCCUAGGUCGGAUUAGCUAGUGGGGGGGGUAAUGGCUCACCUAGGCGACGAUCCCUAGCGGGUCUGAGCGGAUGACCAGCCACAGUGGAAAGAAGACACGGUCCAGACGCCGACGGGAGGCAGCAGUGGGGAAUAUUGCACAAUGGGCGCAAGCCUGAUGCAGCCAUGCCGCGUGUAUGAAGAAGGCCUUCGGGUUGUAAAGUACUUUCAGCGGGGAGGCGUUACCCGCAGAAGAAACACCGGCUAACUCCGUGCCAGCAGCCGCGGUAAUAC
rnacentral:rRNA from 1 species